UACAAAACAAUGCGAAACUCUAGAUGCUCUAGGAAAUAUUAGUGCCAUAAAUGAUCUAAUAUUUGGCAAAAGUAACGCAUAUAUAAAACAGCCUCCCUAUUUAACCUUAUACAACAACAACAACCCAGUAUAAUCCCACUUAGUGGGGUCUGGGGAGGGUAGUGUGUACAUGAUACAUACAACUCUCCGCCCUGUGUUUCCACAAGUAAUACAACAACAACAACAACCCAGUAUAAUCUUACUUAGUGAGGUCUGGGGAGGGUAGUAUAUACGCAGACCUUACCCCUACCCUUAGGUAGAAAGGCUGUUUCCAAAUAAACCCCCGGCAUCUUUCCCUCCAAGAACUUCCCACUUUGCUCUUGGGGAGACUCGAACUCACAACCUCUCGGAUAGAAGUGGGAGUUGCUUACCAUCAGAGCAACCCCUCUUGUCAAUCCCAUACACCAAGAUUCUAAAU
rnacentral:lncRNA from 1 species